rnacentral:rRNA from 1 species
GGAUCGAUAUUGACGCGUGUAGGUGCGGCGUUAUGGUGGGAGAGGCACCGCUUUCUGAAAUCGUUCGACGGUGUGUUAAAACUCGUGGCAACGUGAGAACGGAGAGGGAGGGGUGAAAACCGGGGUAAACAUGGGAACGGUUGUUGUGGUGGAGAGAAAGUACUAUUGUGAAGUAUCCAACAGUGGCAAGGAAUAUACGACAGAGUUUGUAGUGGAGCUGGGAGGGCCGAGCAUAAGGGACGAAGGGGUAAGAAACAUGUCGGAUGCGAUGAUACCAGCACUAAAGCACC